AGAGUGAAGGAGCAAAGGGGACUCGGCCGCCAUGUUAGGAGUACUGGGACGAUUCCGCGGAGCCGGGCAGAGGUUUUAGGGGAAUGAUUAACAAAGGCGUCCGAAGAAAUCGUUGUUGGAAGGUGGCCAAAGUGGAAAGAGAGGUUGCUUUGGCCCUGCAAGUAAGAAGAGAGAAGGAAUAGCCUGAAGGAGUAACACUAAAUUUAAAAUGACACUUUUUUACCAACCAGCGAAAGCAGAUGUUCAAAGGGGAUAUUGGCCAGGUGGGUUGGGGGAGAAGGAGCCAAUUCAAUGUCUAGUCUUUAUUGGAAAGAAGAAACUUUACAGCGCAUUUUGAGCAAUUUAGUGCAGAGUCUCAGUGGGUCAACUGGCGGGGCACCAGAUGGUAAUGGAUUUCACAGUUAGGGCAUUGCUGGGUCUCACCUUUGUGCAGCCAAAAACUAGAGGACAGCACUGUUGUACUCUUCACAGAUGCAGCCCACUAUUCACUUGUUGGUGAUGGAG
rnacentral:lncRNA from 1 species